UACGUAGGGGGCGAGCGUUAUCCGGAAUUACUGGGCGCAAAGCGCACGCAGGCGGUUCGCCAAGUUUGGAGUGACAGUUGUCGGCUCAACCGACAAAGGACUUCAAAAACUGGUGAACUUGAGGACGAGAGAGGAACAUGGAACUCCAGGUGUAGUAGUGAAAUGCGUAGAUAUCUGGAAGAACACCAAUGGCGAAGGCAAUGUUCUGGCUCGUUUCUGACGCUCAGGUGCGAAAGCCAGGGGAGCGAACGGG
rnacentral:rRNA from 1 species